rnacentral:rRNA from 1 species
ACGCUCGACACCUAAGGCAGCAGUGGGGAAUAUUGCACAAUGGGGGAAACCCUGAUGCAGCGACGCCGCGUGAGUGAAGAAGUAUUUCGGUAUGUAAAGCUCUAUCAGCAGGGAAGAAAAUGACGGUACCUGACUAAGAAGCCCCGGCUAACUACGUACCAGCAGCCGCGGUAAUCUGAGCGGGCUGGCAAGGC